rnacentral:rRNA from 1 species
CAGACGAUGCGUCAUGCAUAUCAAUAAGCGGAGGAAAAGAAACUAACAAGGAUUCCCCUAGUAACGGCGAGUGAAGCGGGAAGAGCUCAAAUUUGAAAUCUUAAAGGGUUUCCCUUUACGAAUUGUAGUUUAAAGAAGUGUUUUCUGUUGAGGUUUUGGUAAAAGUUCUUUGGAAUAGGACAUCAUAGAGGGUGAGAAUCCCGUAUUUGACCUUUACUUUCAACUUUGUGAUACACUUUCAAAGAGUCGGAUUGUUUGGGAAUGCAGUCCAAAAUGGGUGGUAAAUUUCAUCUAAAGCUAAAUAUUGGCGAGAGACCGAUAGCGAACAAGUACCGUGAGGGAAAGAUGAAAAGAACUUUGAAAAGAGAGUUAAACAGUACGUGAAAUUGUCAAAAGGGAAGCGCUUUGACACCAGUGUUGUUUUUCUGAAAAUCAAUUAAAGAACUGUUUAUGCUAGGCUGUUUAGACUUUAUCAGCUAUCUGUUUAGUUUUGAGCUUUUCUUUAAUGCACUUUUCAGUUAACAAGUCAACAUCAAUUUCUUUUGCUGUAAAAAAGCUUGAGGAAGGUGGCUUGAGAUUCGUCUUAAGUGUUUAUAGCCUCUUGCCUAUGCAGUCGGAGAGAUUGAGGUCUGCAGCGUAGAUCCUUCGGGGCUAAAUGCAUUUGUGCUAAGUUAUAGCAUUUUAUAGACAACUUGUUGACUAUGAUUUGUCUUGUAGCUUACUCGCUUAUGUUAUUUUACCUACGCUUAGGAUGUUGACACACGCGCGUGCUCG